rnacentral:misc_RNA from 1 species
GUUACUUCAACGUUUUGUAAUAGCCCGUGGCCGUUCGAUUUCCCCUUCGCGCCAAAAAUAAAAUUGGACAAUUCACUAGUGCUUGUAAUGAUAUUGGCGAUACUCGACUCGCGUCUCGUAUCUGUUCGCUAAUGAUCCUUCCGCAGGUUCACCUACGGAAA